rnacentral:rRNA from 1 species
AUAGCGUAUAUUAAAGUUGUUGCGGUUAAAAAGCUCGUAGUUGAAUCUGUGUGUCACGCUGUCGGUUCAUCGCUCGCGGUGUUUACUGACAUGACGUGGGACGUCCUACCGGUGGGCUUAGCCCCUUUCAGAGGCGGUCCAACUAAUAUCCCAUCGCGGUGCUCUUCACUGAGUGCCGAGGUGGGCCGGUACGUUUACUUUGAACAAAUUAGAGUGCUUAAAGCAGGCUGUCUUCGCCUGAAUACUGUGUGCAUGGAAUAAUGGAAUAGGACCUCGGUUCUAUUUUGUUGGUUUUCGGAACCCCGAGGUAAUGAUUAAUAGGGACAGAUGGGGGCAUUCGUAUUGCGACGUUAGAGGUGAAAUUCUUGGAUCGUCGCAAGACGGACAGAAGCGAAAGCAUUUGCCAAAAAUGUUUUCAUUAAUCAAGAACGAAAGUUAGAGGUUCGAAGGCGAUCAGAUACCGCCCUAGUUCUAACCAUAAACGAUGCCAGCUAGCGAUCCGCCGAAGUUCCUCCGAUGACUCGGCGGGCAGCUUCCGGGAAACCAAAGCUUUUGGGUUCCGGGGGAAGUAUGGUUGCAAAGCUGAAACUUAAAGGAAUUGACGGAAGGGCACCACCAGGAGUGGAGCCUGCGGCUUAAUUUGACUCAACACGGGAAACCUCACCAGGCCCGGACACCGGAAGGAUUGACAGAUUGAUAGCUCUUUCUUGAUUCGGUGGGUGGUGGUGCAUGGCCGUUCUUAGUUGGUGGAGCGAUUUGUCUGGUUAAUUCCGAUAACGAACGAGACUCUAGCCUGCUAAAUAGGCGUAACUUAUGGUAUCUCUAAGGCCCCCGUCGUUCUGUCGGGCGGUUCUUACUACCGACGUACAAACAAAUCUUCUUAGAGGGAC